UUUUUUUUUUUUUUAAUACUAAUAAUAUCUCUUAAUAUAGGACAUUAAUGACAAAGGGGGAGUUACAGAGAAGAGUUGACACGAAUAAUAAUACAACAGAAAAGAAAGAAGCGAACAACAACUAUCAACAACAUAAUUCUUCUAUUUCAUAUUACUAUUAUGAUGAUG
rnacentral:ribozyme from 14 species